rnacentral:rRNA from 1 species
CCCUUAGAUGUUCUGGGCAGCACGCGCGCUACACUGAUGCAUUCAACGAGUUUCUUCCUGGUCCGAGAGGAGUGGGUAACCUUUUGAAAGUGCAUCGUGAUAGGGAUAGACUAUUGCAAUUAUUGGUCUUCAACGAGGAAUUCCUAGUAGACGUAGUUCAUCAGACUGCAUCGAUUACGUCCCUGCCCUUUGUACACACCGCCCGUCGCUCCUACCGAUUGAAUGAUCCGAUGAAUAUCAUGGAUUGAGGAUGCAAGUAGGUUCGCCUAUCUUCAUCUUCGAGAAGUGAAGUAAAUCUUAUCAUUUAGAGGAAGGAGAAGUCGUAACA